rnacentral:rRNA from 1 species
CGGUUGAUCCUGCCGGACCCUACCGCUAUCGGGAUAGGACUAAGACAUGCUAGUCGUGCGUCUCCCAACGCUAUGAGUUGGAGACGCGGCAGACGGCUCAGUAACAUGUGGCUAACCUGCCCUCAGGACAGGGACAACCCCGGGAAACUGGGGCUAAUCCCUGAUAGGUGUGGAUUCCUGGAAUGGAUCCACACCCAAAAGACGUCCAAAUCAUGCUUUGGACGUCGCCUGAGGAUGGGGCCGCAUCCGAUCAGGUUGUUGGUGAGGUAACGGCUCACCAAGCCUAUAACCGGUACGGGCCGCGAGAGCGGUAGCCCGGAGAUGGACACUGAGACAAGGGUCCAGGCCCUACGGGGCGCAGCAGUCGCGAAAACUCCACAAUGCGCGAAAGCGCGAUGGGGCUAUCCCGAGUGCCGUCCGCUGAGGACGGCUUUUCUCCAGUGUAAGGAGCUGAAGGAAUAAGGAGAGGGCAAGUCUGGUGUCAGCCGCCGCGGUAAUACCAGCUCUCCGAGUGGUAGGGACGUUUAUUGGGCCUAAAGCGUCCGUAGCCGGCUCAGCAAGUCCCCUGUUAAAUCCAACGAUUCAAUCGUUGGACUGCAGGGGAUACUGCUGGGCUAGGGGUCGGGAGAGGCCGACGGUACUCCCGGAGUAGGGGUGAAAUCCUAUAAUUCCGGGAGGACCACCAGUGGCGAAGGCUGUCGGCUAGAACGAGCUCAACGGUGAGGGACGAAAGCUGGGGGAGCGAACCGGAUUAGAUACCCGGGUAGUCCCAGCUGUAAACGAUGCGGGCUAGGUGUUAGAGUGGCUACGAGCCACUCUAGUGCCGCAGCGAAGGCAUUAAGCCCGCCGCCUGGGAAGUACGGCCGCAAGGCUGAAACUUAAAGGAAUUGGCGGGGGAGCAC